CAAUGAAAGAUGUGUCGUUGUUACUCCUGAGGACAUCUGACACCUCUAAAAAGGCAGCCUGAAGAAGAGCCAAGAUCCAUUUUCCCACACGGUCCAUCCAAAGAGCCCCGUGUUAGUGUGUGUUCAACAGUCAAGGGCCAGAAAAGGAAAAGAGGUGGGCAGGUCACGUCUGCAGCCCAGUGCCCAGAAGAAAGCAGGGUGAGCCAGUCUCUGGAGCAAUUGGGGGCUUAAGGGGCUCCCAACGGUGAGAUCAGUCUGCUGAACCUGGGAUGUGAACCUUCCAAUCUGAGGUACAACACCAAACCCGCUGAUUCGCACCCCCACCCCGAUUCCAAAUUCUAAUCAUGCGCUCAAGGGGCCUCGGCUCACUCUGGGCGACACACAAACACUGCAGAAGACGAGCAGCAGGGGGAGCCGCACCUGGUCGGGUCUGCCUGCAGUCGGCCCUGGCUGUCACGCUCCAUGGAAGACCAGCAAUCAUCGAUAUUGAUAUAGACGUAUCCCAGCU